rnacentral:rRNA from 1 species
CCCUGGCAGUCAGAGGCGAUGAAGGACGUGCUAAUCUGCGAUAAGCGUCGGUAAGGUGAUAUGAACCGUUAUAACCGGCGAUUUCCGAAUGGGGAAACCCAGUGUGUUUCGACACACUAUCAUUAACUGAAUCCAUAGGUUAAUGAGGCGAACCGGGGGAACUGAAACAUCUAAGUACCCCGAGGAAAAGAAAUCAACCGAGAUUCCCCCAGUAGCGGCGAGCGAACGGGGAG